AAUAAUGGCUGGGAGUCUGAUAAUAAUUAAAGAAUAGAAUUAAUAUUAUAAGAUUUAUUAUUAAAGAUUUGGGAACAUCAGUGCAACUAUGACUUACCUGAUUCACCACGGUUCGAUGAAAUAGAAAAUGAAUCCUCAAUGAGAAAUCAUAAUAAUUGCUGUGGCAGAGAGAUUAUAUCCAUAAGGAACUGAAAAGAUUGUCCAGACAAAUGUACGCUAUUGAAGUUCUACUAAAAGAGGAGAAUGCAGAACGAAGUGAGGUUGUAGCACAAGAUCUGUUACCUCCAUUGCCUCUAAUGACGCUGAAACAGUUCUUGCAGUGCGAAAAUCAGAAUUGAAAGUGAAACCAACAUGAUACAAAACAAUUUAUAUGGCACCGUUGACAUCAUUGUUCAAUUGAACGUGAUAGAUGCUCUGACAACAUCGGUAAAAAAAAACUGAGGAGGAUUUUAAAAAAUUUAAUAGAAGAUUAGGGAAAAAACGAA